UUAAAGCCUGAUUAUUACUUGAUCUUGUACUAUUGUAUGAGUACUACAACACCAAUAAUUGAUCUAACAAAAAAUCAUUACAAGUAACGAGUUAUUUGAUGGUCAAACUGGUCACUCGACCAUGACCAACGGCUGCCCAGAAACUCAAGAACACCUACAACGACACUUUCUGUCACUGUAGAGCUUUAGCGAUAGACAGAAAUUAUUUUCUUUAAAAAUAAAUUAUAAAAAUUAGAAAUAAUUAAUAAAAAUAGUUUUAAAAAUUAUAUUAAAU
rnacentral:lncRNA from 1 species